rnacentral:rRNA from 1 species
AUGACGUCAAAUCAUCAUGCCCCUUAUGACCUGGGCUACACACGUGCUACAAUGGGCGGUACAAAGGGUCGCGAAACCCGCGAGGGGGAGCCAAUCCCAAAAAGCCGCUCUCAGUUCGGAUUGCAGGCUGCAACUCGCCUGCAUGAAGCCGGAAUCGCUAGUAAUCGCGGAUCAGCAUGCCCGCGGUCGAAUACGUUCCCGGGCCUU